rnacentral:rRNA from 1 species
GAUCAUGGCUCAGGACGAACGCUGGCGGCACGCUUAACACAUGCAAGUCGAACGGAGAACAUUGAGCUUGCUUAAUGUUCUUAGUGGCGGACGGGUGAGUAACACGUGAGUAACCUGCCUCUGAGAGUGGGAUAGCUUCUGGAAACGGAUGGUAAUACCGCAUAACAUCAUGGAUUCGCAUGUUUCUAUGAUCAAAGAUUUAUCGCUUAGAGAUGGACUCGCGU